AGUGAACGCUGGCGGCGUGCCUAAUACAUGCAAGUCGAACGAAGUGGCGCACGCGUGAGUAAUAUAUAGUUAAACUGCCCUACUCAGAGGAACAUCAGUUGUAAACGACUGCUAAUACCUCAUAGUGUAGGAUGAGACUAUAUCGUAUCAGCUAGUUGGUAAGGUAAUGGCUUACCAAGGCUAUGACGCGUAACUGGACUGAGAGGAUGAGCAGUAACAGUGUACAUGAGACACGGUUCAAACUCCUACGGGAGGGAGCAGUAAGGAAUAUUGCGCAAUGGGAGAAACCCUGACGCAGCAACGCCGCGUGGAGGAUGAAACUUUUCGGAGUGUGAACUCCUUUUAUUAGGAAAGCGGUACCUGAAGAAUAAGCACCGGCUAACUCCGUGCCAGCAGCCGCGGUAAUUC
rnacentral:rRNA from 1 species